UAGAAACUACGCGUAUUCCAACUUGCUGCUUCUGGCUUCGAUUAAUAUUGACUCUGUUAAGAGUACGAAACUAGAAAAGCUAGUAAUGCGCACAUUGCGGUGGUCGAUACCAGAGAAUGUACGCUAUUUUAUUUGUUUUGUCCAUACUAUUCGUUGACUGGCAUACCCAGUUGGCGAUACAUUUUCGAUUGAUUCAAAAGCAUUCCUUUUAACGUAUUAUACAGCUAAAUAACAGAACGGGCAAACCUAAAGAUGAAAUCGUCCAGCAUUCUAUUGCGGCCAGAAAAAAACAACAAAAAUCUAAUCGAACCUAGCUAAUUAUUUUUCGCCUGUCUCACAAAGAAUAACGCAUGAAAACAUUAGUGAUAGGACGGAUAAGUUAUGUGACAUAAAUGGAUGACUAAGAGAUCCCAGUAGGUGAAAACGAGCGGGCAGACAUAGUGUCUCCACAGCCGCCGCACCAACUAGUUCAGGUUAUUAACGGGAAGUCUAAGACAAUCGUUGAUCAGCGGAAGCUUCAAGAAUACCGACAUUAAUGUCUGCCUAUCGUUUAUGUGGAACAUUCGAGCACUGUGGCCGGCUACCGACGCCCGCGCACCCAACUAACCGUGAUCGAGAGAAGUGACUAGUAAUGACAACUAAGUUGGCAGUAGCAGUUUAGCAAUCAGUACGAAGAAGUCAAAAGGGUAAUGUUGAGGGACAGCCGAACAUACAACUAUUUCGAAAGCUACUAUAGUUCUGCAAGAAGUAUAUAUAGAAGGCCGUUUCCGUGUGACCCUUACUCUUGUCAUCCGCAGCGGGUAGCUUGCUUUGUCAGAACACUAGAGCAUCAUAUUAUUAUAAUAUAGUAUUGUACAACAGAGCCCGAGAAGCUAACGUCGUCUAAUAAGAAGAGCUAUGACAUUAGAGAAAUUCGCCAGCAGUUUUCUUUACGCUUGUUAACGAUUAGCAUAAUAACAGCAAAGCAGUACGUUCCCAAUUUCGUCAUCAACGGAACCCUUACUGCAUAUAAUCUAAAGGCUAUAACACAAAUCGUAAUUUAUACUAUUUGAUGUCACGAGAGAGCAUCUGGGAAGAUAUUUUUUUGGCUACACAGCUACAUGGAAUCCAGCAAUGAUCCGCCGGCAAUGCAAAAUGUACCAGCAUUUGAUUAUGCUGGUUGUUACUGGCAGGGUUAGCGUGAAACGGAUUUGAAAACUAUUGACCGUUACUUUACCAGUAUCGUUGUGACUAUUUAUAGAUUUGCUUCUUAGCUAAAUACUACAUCAAUACCAAUUCGCGCAUUUUAUGAAACUAGUCCUACUUACAUACUCCAUCUAUCUACAAAUUUCCGCUAAAUACGCUACUUAAAAAUGAAUGACGCAUUAAUAUUUUUUACGUAUACAUUUUUGCAUGUAUAUAAAACGCUUUAUUUGAUUCGUUUUGAAUAAUCCUGGUUCUUUGUUGGUUGGUUUUUUUCCAUUCACAUUAUUAUUGUGCCGUCGUGAAGAGGACGCAAUGGGUUUCUUUUAGCUCGCGUAUUUGUUGAUGUUCAUGGUUUGUCGUUGAUGUUACUAUAGUUGCUGUUGAUGCGUUUUUUUCCGCUAUUAAUUUAUUAUAUACGUGCAUUGUAAUGGAGCUAUUAUACAGAAGGACACAUAAAUAGUAAUAAUAAUAAUAAUCGUAAAAAUAAUAUCUUUGUCCCACCAAGAACAACCUCGAUGCCGUUUGCUUUGCGCACCGUGUAUCCCCAUAAUCGGCGGACAAAGUCUGUCGGAAGUCGAUCCGACAAACAAACUCAAUUCGGUUAUUAUUUUCAUGUUCAUUUUAUUUUUCCCUUUAUUCUCGAUAUUGUUUAUGAAUAGAUCGUCCUCCGCGUGGUGAGGGAUCCUGGUAUGAUGGUAAAAACUUACAUCCUCUUAUUGUUGGUCAAUAGGUUUUUGUUUGUUGGUUGAAUCUUUUUCGUAAAAUCAAUUGAAAUUAUACAAAGAGACAUUCGAGGGUGUAGUUUGUUGCGUCUGCUAACGUCUUUCGUCGACUUCUUAUUUCUCUCUUUCCUAUUCUCUCCACGUUCCUUUCUUCCGCAUCGUGUCCUUUUCUUCUUAUCUUUAUUAUUAUUAUUAUUAUUAUUAUUAUUAUUAGUAUUACUAUUAUCAUUAUUAUAAUCUUAUCAUCUGUUUUCUUUUUCACAUAUCUCUGCUCUGUUUGAAGUAGUGAGGAGGGUUCGU